rnacentral:misc_RNA from 1 species
AAGUCGUAACAAGGUAACCGUAGGUGAACCUGCGGUUGGAUCAUUAGCAAAUAAUUUAGGCCCCUGGCUGCCUCAAAAGGGCGAAGGGGGGAAACCUAAACAUUUGUGUGCACCAUAUCUGUCCUUGGCAGUUCGAGUGUCCUGGGUCGCGUAACUGCCUCAGGUACCUACCGAGGCUUUCCUCUCGGGGUUUGCCAAAGUUGGGCUGCCGCUUCUAGAACAAACCUUUUGUAAAUUAUUUUUGCCUGAAUUUGUUUGAUCUUUAUGAUUGAAUUUAAAUACAACUUUUGACAACGGAUCUCUUGGCUCUC